UGGGGAAUAUUGGACAAUGGGGGCAACCCUGAUCCAGCAAUGCCGCGUGUGUGAAGAAGGCCUUCGGGUUGUAAAGCACUUUCGGUGGGGACAAACAAGGCGGAGCUAACAUCUCCGUCCCUGAUGGUACCCAAAGAAGAAGCACCGGCUAACUCUGUGCCAGCAGCCGCGGUAAUACAGAGGGUGCGAGCGUUAAUCGGAAUUACUGGGCGUAAAGCGUGCGUAGGUGGUUUGUUAAGUCAGGUGUGAAAUCCUCGGGCUCAACCCGGGAACUGCGCUUGAUACUGGCAGACUCGAGUGUGGUAGAGGAUAGUGGAAUUCCCGGUGUAGCGGUGAAAUGCGUAGAUAUCGGGAGGAACGUCAGUGGCGAAGGCGGCUAUCUGGACCAACACUGACACUGAGGUACGAAAGCGUGGGUAGCAAACAGGAUUAGAUACCCUGGUAGUCCACGCCCUAAACGAUGGGUACUAGACGUCGGGAAGCUUGUCUUCUUGGUGUCGCAGCUAACGCAAUAAGUACCCCGCCUGGGGAGUACGGUCGCAAGAUUA
rnacentral:rRNA from 1 species